GGUUUUUUAGGUAGGGGAUGUUUCUGGGUUUCCUUAGUCGAUCAUCAUCUCUAUUGAUCAGAAAUAAGAAGUCAUGUCCAAGAUCCGCAUUUCAUUAUAGCCGGUGGGGGUGACAAAAUUGGGUGUCUACAGUAUCCCCGGAGGCCUAUACUAAGAUUCGCUGCAUGCACCAGGGCCUAUGCAUGGAGCUAUUAAAUGAGAUGGGGCAGACAUAUUUUACGGGGCAUGGAUCACUGAUCUUGAGAAGUAACUGGUGGACUUACAGGUUUGAUAUGAUGCUGCAGUCGUUGGUGAUGUGAUGAUCCCUACAAAUGAUGCCAGUUCGGAUGACGAGGCUCAUUCCUACAACCCUUCCUUUCUUAUCUUUCCCUGUCCUGCAAACUGAGAACACUAAUGUUUUUUUUCCUCCUUUUAUAUUUCUUUUCUUUUUGUCUUUUUUUUUUUAUUAUUGUACUUCCAGUCUUGGCUCUUUGUUUUGAAAUGAAAACAUUUUUUUUUGGCA